AUCUUGUGGACCGGGCGCGUCAUCCAGCAGUGAUGACUGUCGCAACUACUGACCAGCAGCGUCGGCACAAGAU
rfam:Yarrowia lipolytica strain IBT 446 chromosome B